AGAGUUUGAUUCUGGCUCAGGACGAACGCUGGCGGCGUGCUUAACACAUGCAAGUCGAACGAUGAAGCCCUUCGGGGUGGAUUAGUGGCGAACGGGUGAGUAACACGUGGGCAAUCUGCCCUUCACUCUGGGACAAGCCCUGGAAACGGGGUCUAAUACCGGAUAACACCGGCCUCUGCAUGGAGGCUGGUUAAAAGCUCCGGCGGUGAAGGAGAGCCCGCGGCCUAUCAGCUUGUUGGUGGGGUAAUGGCCUACCAAGGCGACACGGGUAGCCGGCCUGAGAGGGCGACCGGCCACACUGGGACUGAGACACGGCCCAGACUCCUACGGGAGGCAGCAGUGGGGAAUAUUGCACAAUGGGCGAAAGCCUGAUGCAGCGACGCCGCGUGAGGGAUGACGGCCUUCGGGUUGUAAACCUCUUUCAGCAGGGAAGAAGCGAAAGUGACGGUACCUGCAGAAGAAGCGCCGGCUAACUACGUGCCAGCAGCCGCGGUAAUACGUAGGGCGCAAGCGUUGUCCGGAAUUAUUGGGCGUAAAGAGCUCGUAGGCGGCUUGUCACGUCGGGUGUGAAAGCCCGGGGCUUAACCCCGGGUCUGCAUCCGAUACGGGCAGGCUAGAGUGUGGUAGGGGAGAUCGGAAUUCCUGGUGUAGCGGUGAAAUGCGCAGAUAUCACGAGGAACACCGGUGGCGAAAGCGGAUCUCUGGGCCAUUACUGACGCUGAUGAGCGAAAAGCGUGGGAGCGAACAGGAUUAGAUACUCUGGUAGUCCACGCCGUACACGUUGGGAACUAUGUGUUGGCGACAUUCCACGUCGUCGGUGCCGCAGCUAACGCAUUAAGUUCCCCGACUGGAGAGUACGGCCGCAAGGCUAUAACUCAGAUGAAUUGACGGGG
rnacentral:rRNA from 1 species